GUCGACAUAUUUUUAAAAUAAUUUUAUUUUUAUUUUUUUAUUUUUACUGUAGCACCUUCUUCUUCCUUGGGUCGCCGGACUGGUUUUUCCGGCGGCCGUUUUCCGGGCAGUUUUUCAAAUUGCCAUAACUUUGUCAUUUCUCAACGAAAUCAAGUGAUUCAAAAACGAAAGUUGUAGCCCUUGAAGAGACAAAGAGAAUGGUACCUUUCACAACACCUAGUUCGCCGUGGUUUGGCCGGAAACUGCCUCGAAAGCCUCGGAGGUCGCCGGAAACUGGGUAUUUUUCAAAUGAGUAUAACUUCUUCAAUACUCAACGAAAUUGAGUGAAACAAAAAGGAAAGUUGUAGUACUUGACGAGACGAAGAGAUUGAUACCUACCUCGACUCCUAACUCGCCGGGUAUUCUCCGGAAAACACCUCGAAAGCUCCGGCCAAACUUUGAACUUGUCGAUCUCCGUGUUCUUACGUCCAAAAACUUCCAACGAAGCACUCCGAGCUUCCUUGGGACCUCACUAAGCUUGCUAUGAUCUUAUUUUGGCCUAAAACACAACCACUUCAAAGAUCAUGAAUAGUACACAUUCACGGGGUCUUUAGAACUAGGGUUUUUCGAAAUGAAACUUACCUGAAAAUGGUACCUACGUGAUCGUGAAGUCCUCAGGGUUGCAAUGGUAGUCUUAACUUGGACGUUGGUAUAGGUUUUAGGUGGUUUUGGUGGUUUUGGUGGUUGCCCGUGCGUUCGAGAAGAAGAGAGAGAAUGAGAGUUUCUGAGGAAGAGCUGAGGAAGAGAGAGAGUAUGAAGGACAGUAUACGGGAAAUGGGGAGGGUUUUGAGGUGUGGGGAUCCCACAUGUCCAAACCAAUCCCAAUUUCAUAAAAUUCCAUCAUAAAAUUUAAGUCUAAGUCUCCACUCCAAUUACCAAAUUUUUUUGGAGCUUAGAUAUAACGAACGUGAAAAUUAUACCUUAGUCACAUAUUAGGGACAUUUCCGUAAUUUCAUGUCCUCGGAAUUAAAAAUUCCGGCACGGGCUGUGACAAUCUCCCCUCCUUAUAGAAUUUCGUCCCCGAAAUUCCAGCAACCAACCAAAUCAUCUAUACUCAUACAAUAGCCUCGGAUAAAUCUCUCUCAUCCGAUUCUCUUUCUCCCACACAAUUUUCUACUGAAUGAUUUCCUUCACAAAGCUUUUACUACUUACUCUGUCUUAAUUCUUAGGACCUUCUUUUUCCAAUUCAAAGUCGACAUUAGUUCCUCACCAAUCAGAUCCGGCUUAAUUCUCAAUAGUUGCACCAAAGUCCCAUGUAACGACUCUGCCACUUAGUGACAACGCAUCGAACACAAAAUACAUUAUGUGCCUUAGCCAAUUCUGAAGGCAUCACAAACUUGUAUGCAACUUUAUUGAUUCCUUUAGUAAAAAAAAAAAUGGUCUGAUGUGUCUAAAUCUUAUCUUGUCUCUUUUCCAAUUUUUCAUUCUCGUCAUUUCUGUUCGCGGUGAAUUUUCCAAAAAUAUCAAACCAUUUACCUUACACACUCGAUUAGUGGCAUAUCCAUCUGUUGAUCUCUUUUGCCAUUCCUGGUUACUUCAGGUUAACUUAAUCACCUGAAUACUUUGAGGAAACUCAUCCAUAGUCUCAGGGUCUACUAAAACUCUUUCUUGAUCGAAUCCUUCUCUACCCAGAAACAUUCCAUUCACAAAGUCAUCAAAAACCGACUCACAUGACACAUUUCAUGAUCCUUAUGGCGUUACUUCGGAAACUGCACAACCAACAUACUUAAGAAACUCAGCAGUUCCGUAAACCAAUUCUCUUUUCCAUAAAACAAAUAAGUAAUGUUGCACUGUCUGGGAAAGGUUGUUACUCAACACUGGAGUAAAUGUACUAACUUGUUACUUAACAAGUAAUAACUUCUUCUCGAUCUUCCAUUCUUAAUUUUUCUUCCGUUGGUUUUCAAUCCACAAGAUGAUACUCUUGGCAAACGUGCCAGACAUUAAUCUUACUGUAGUCUUCUCACCAAGUGCUUGAGCUAGAACAAACUUUACGAUCACCCUGAUCGUACAAUCAUGUUCAUUAAGCAAUUCAAUCCACCUUUGUUGCCUCAUAUUGAAAUCCUUCCGAGUAAACAAAUAUUGGAGACUCUUUUGAUUUGUAAAAUCUUGCAUUCUUAUCAACAUAGAAUGUCUCCAUAACUUCACAGCAAGAAUGGUAAUCAUGACUUCCAAGUCACCCGUAGGGUAAUUCAUCUUAUGAGAUUCCAUUUAUCGUGAAACGUAUGCAAUCACCCUAACAUUUGCAUCAACAUGCAUCCAAUACCAUUCAAGAAACAUCACUAAAAAUUUAUGAUUACCACUAUUCUCUGGGAAUACCAAAAUACGUGCAUGAGUGAGGAAAUACUUCAGUUGUUGAAUCCUUUGCUCACAAUUUCCUUCCCACUCAUACAUAACCUCUUUUCUCAACAGUCUCGUCAAUGACAAAGCAAUGACUGAAAAAUCUUUCACAACCAUCCAAGAUAGCCUGGUAAGCUAAGAAAUUCCGAAUCUCAAUUACAGUUCGUGGUUGUUCCAAUUCCUCAAUUUCUGCUAUCUUUUAAGGAUUCACUUGAAUACCUUAAGAAUAUAUAACAAAUCUCAGAAUGCCACCUGAUUCAUCUAACUUUAGCAUUUGCUACUUAGCAUACAACCGACAUUCUUCCAAUCUUUAUUCCACCGACUUAAUACGUUUACAUGCUCUGCUCUGGCUCAGAAUAUGCCAGAAUAUCUUCAAUGAAAAUGAUAUCUAUUUAUCAAGGCAUUAUUGGAAUACUUCAUCCAAUAACUCAUAAAACAGCAUGAGUAUCCAUAUAGCAUCACCAUAGUUCAUAAAACAAUCUUAAGAACAACGUCGCUCAUAAUCUUUAAAUUGGUAAUAACCAGACCUCAAUUCAAUCUUUGAAUCUUCGCAAUUACUUCUGAGCUGGUUAAAUAAACAUCAGUACAUCACCAUGGAUAACGGUUCUCAAUCGUUACCCGACUCCAUUGUCUAUAAUCAAUGAACAGUCUCAAGAUCCAUUUUCUUCCUCACCAACAAACUGGGGCUCCUCAAAAGUGUUGUACUAGGUUGAAUGAAACUUUUAUCAACCAAUUCUUUCAACUGAAUUUCCAAUUCCCUUAACUCAUCCUGAACCAAUCUCCAAUAUAAAUUUAUACCUGGCAACAAAUCAAUAAUGAACCUCAUAUCUCUGCCUGAAGGCAAUCCAGGUAUACUUUCAAGGAAGACAUCAAGAAAAGUCUAACUCUUUCGACAUUAUUCACACUACUCCAAACAACAUCAUUUAGCACCACAUGAGCUAAGUAUUUUUGACAGUCUUUCGAAAACAAUCUCUUUGCUCUCACAGCAUAAAUAACGGCCUGACUCAAUCCAUUUUGCAUACUUACAAAAGUAAUCUCUGUUCAUCCAGAUCGAUGGAAAGUACUGGUUUCCCAUAACAUUUCGUCUUGUCACAAUUAUAACCAACCAAUCUAAUGGAACAGAAUUAACUGAUACAAUAUAUAUUUUAUUAUUAUUAAGCAUUCCAAAUAAGUACAAUACUAACAUAAAAUAAUCUACCGGGUUGCUUGCUUAACGAAUCCACGAAUGAGUUAUUAAUAUUACGGUCUGCAGCCCGCAAUACUGAUAAAUCAUCGUUGUCUCGAUAAGUAGGCAACCACUCUCAAAGAUAUAACAUUACUAUUUUGUCACUCAAUGCAAAAUACAUACACUCUCAUCUCAACUACAUUUAUUUACUACUCUCAAGGUAAUAACAUACAUAAUAAGAAAUAUAUCAGCCGAAGUCAACUAGAAUGACCAAUACGGCUGAUUCAACUCUUAUCUCAAUAAUACGUCGGCCGGAUCCACUCCGCGUGGUCGGUACGGCCGAGCCUAUAACUCACAAAUUUCGCAUGUGUCAAUCGAAUCCACUUCUCGUGGCCUGUACGGCUGAACAUAUAACUCAUCAAAUCUCUCUGUACUCACGGUCAAUCCGACCAAACUACUAAGUCCAUAACUCUGCUGAAUCGACACUAUGAUAUCAUGGAAAAUUAUUGAGUACAACUGAUUCUAGGGACGAUUCACAAUUCUGUGUCCCCUCUGUUCACAUAAACACAUUCAUUAAUUUCACAUUUCCCAAAGUGUUAAUUUUGUACCUGCUGCACAAGGUACAUUUCUUUUACUCGAGACACCUUGUCUCAAAUAUCUGGGAUUACCAGUAUAUCCAUCACUUUUACUCUGACCAACGACACUAAAACCUCAGCUGGAAGAAUUAACUCUAGCUUCACUUCUUUCGAAGCUCUGAAUCCUUCGAUAUUCUUGAUAUGACGAAUCAUUAACUUUAUCGUCUUCUUUUAAUUCCCAUUCUUUUCUUAUUCCUCUUCACUCUAGCUGAUCAUAUUCUCAGAGUCCUCAAGACUCAACAGCAUCUCGUAUAUUCUUGGUAAGAAGUACAAUGGAUAGUGGUCACCCAAAAUACCACUUCCCUUUUUUGCCACCCAGCUUAAAACAACAUAACACCUCCACCAAAUUAACAACAAUAUCUGGAUGGAACGAGGCAAGUCUGAAAACUUUCUAUAAUAUCCCUCGAUCAUCACCUUCCUUGUCUCAUAUUUGUAAACUCUUGUUUACUACCAUCGAUAAAUGCCGGAGGGAUAAACUUUUCCUUUAAACAAGUCCUUAAACAAUUCUCAAUCGACUGAUUCCUCUGGUGACAACAAUUCAUACUCCUGUUUCCACCAGGAUACAAAUUCAUAACCAAAACCAGGUAGUCGUCUCGACCCCUUGUCAGAAGGAAGAUUCCUUUGACUUGCAUAUUCCGAAACAUCUUUUCCAAUUGGUUAAUCCGUCACUUUGUUCCCUCAGGUUCAUCAUUUCUCUUAAGUGAUUCAAAUUCAACUCAUAACCCGUCUUAAAAUGUCCAUUUUUCUAAUAUACUGAAUCACCAUAAGAAUAGUUUCCCCUAACCCGCUAAAUCAGGGAGACUAAGUUCCUCUAACUACGUGGUUUGCUACGAGGCGGUGUAGUUCUGACAGAAUUCACUAGAACUUCUCAAAAUGUCCAAGAUUGCAACCAUGCUCUGAUACCAACUGACACACCCCGUCCCGAAGGAGGGCAUGCUGGCCGUCACGUGAGAGUGACGUAACCAUUUGCACAGUACGGAAGCUUUAAUUAUACAAUUUAUAAGUUGAUACACCCGAAGGUGAGUCCUAAUUUUGUCCAAUCUGUCAGAACCCCGCUGUAUUCCUCGUAGUCACCACACCUUUGUGAUUCCUGAACCUGGAGGGGCGCAAAACCAAAAUUGAGUGGGUCAGUAAAACAAUUCUUUUCCAAAUCCAAACAUUUCUCAAAACGUUGUAACCCCUCUCUCCGUAAAACCUGUAUACUUUCCCAGAAAUGUAAAAUAUAAAUAUACAUAUAUAUUCUCAAAACUUCAUUUUUACUAUCUCAACAUUAUCUCUUUAUCAAUCAUGCCAUGCCAUGUCAUCUCAACAUUUCUCAUAUUAAUUAUGCCAUGCCACAUCAUCUCAACAGUAAUAAGGUAUGAAUGCAUCAACAUAAUCAUAUCAGGUGCAAGAAAGUAAUCAACCGUAGGCCUUCUAAUAGCCCUAUACGGUUGAACCUAGAGCUCAAAAUCUAUCAUUAUCACUCUACCGGAGUCACCUCUGUGACCCGUCCGGCCUUCUGCACACAAGUUACGCUCUAGUGCUUCUCAUAAAUCAUCUGUGCACAUAAUCUAAGGUCACCCACCAGUCGGAAUCUCACUAACACUCUCGCGACUGGUCUGUCGUACCCACUCCGCGUGGACUGUACGACUAGCAUCUACUUGGAUCCAAGGCGAGCGUGCGAUGCGGUGAAUACUAUAAGCACUAAACCAUGGUGCAGGAUUUGAGCUCAAUAUAUAUCAUCAUCAUCAUAACAGUAAUUAAAUACUCACCUGUGCGUCCACCGCACCAUUUCAUACAUAUGCAUCAUAAAUCAAUUCUUACCUGUGCGUCCACCGCACCAAUUCAUACAUAUGCAUCAUAUAUUAAUUCAUGCAUGGCAUUUCAACUCACAUUUCUAUAUACUUUUCAUAUCAAUUCUAUGCAUGGUAUUUCACUUCCCGUUUUUCCACAUAACUCAUAUGCAUUUCAUUUUAAACAUAAUUUCAUGCAUUUUCAAUUUCUGGGAAAACGUUAAGUAUAUAUAUAUAUAUACGGAAAACAAAACUGCCCACUCACCUGGAGUUCGUCCAACAACUCCCUAGCACCACACAUCAAGGCGUCACGACGAUCGCCGCCUAGAAUAGUAAUCAAAUCCAACCUCAGAAUUCAUAUCGAUAGAAUAUAUAACUUAUAUAAAAUACGUCACUAUGUAGUUCGAUCCGGAAGAUCUGCCACUCAGAUUUUAAAUCCAUAACUUCCAGAGGUCCACAAUAUAUCUCUAGGAUAACAUCCUAAAAUUUCAUUACCAUCCAACGGUCGGAUCUCCGUCAAUUUCCAAAACUAAGUGACGGUUAACAUUUUAUAUUAUGGACUUACAAUUCCAAUUCCGGAAGAUCCGUAACUCGAAUUCCCAAUCCGUAAGUUCCAAUAAUCCUCAAAUAUUACGUAUUACAACGUAUCAAAGUUUGGUGACGAUCCAACGGUCGGAUCAUCAAUUCACAUUUUCACCUAAAUGUGAAAACUAUAAAAACGUUAUUUGAACACCUAACCAACAAUCCUCAAUAACUUUCUCAUACGGUGUUCAAUUUAGGUAUAUGAAUAUACCACAGUGAUCUACUCGACGUCACGGACGUCGACAUAUUUUUAAAAUAAUUUUAUUUUUUAUUUUUUUAUUUUUACUGUAGCACCUUCUUCUUCCUUGGGUCGCCGGACUGGUUUUUCCGGCGGCCGUUUUCCGGGCAGUUUUUCAAAUUGCCAUAACUUUGUCAUUUCUCAACGAAAUCAAGUGAUUCAAAAACGAAAGUUGUAGCCCUUGAAGAGACAAAGAGAAUGGUACCUUUCACAACACCUAGUUCGCCGUGGUUUGGCCGGAAACUGCCUCGAAAGCCUCGGAGGUCGCCGGAAACUGGGUAUUUUUCAAAUGAGUAUAACUUCUUCAAUACUCCACGGAAUUGAGUGAAACAAAAAGGAAAGUUGUAGUACUUGA
rnacentral:lncRNA from 1 species